AUACUUACCUGUAGGGGAGAUACCAUGAUCGUGAAGGUGGUUUCCCAAGGCCAGGCUUAUCCACUGAACUCCAGAUGUGCUAACCCCUAUCAUUUCUCCAGAUGUGGAAAUAAACUGUAUCAUUUGUGGUCGUGGGGGAUUGUGCACUCACUUUCUCCUG